AAAUUUGGUCACCAAUUUUGACUAGUUUUAUUAUUAACAAAUCAAAAAGAAAAAGCUAUCAUUUUUCUCUUCUCCUUCACCAAAAUAUGCAGCAAAGAAAGGGCUUUGAAGCUGGAAAAUUUCAGCAACAUAUUUCCCUUGCUUAUGAUGAAAAUCGAGAUUUGGACCUAGAACGGAAAGAAAUCGAUUAAGGGAUAAUUACGUCUUUUUUUUUUCACCUUUGUGGUAUCGAGAGUUUCCAGGUUAGAUCGGGUUGGAGGCCGUCAGAGAUAUUAUCACACUGUCGAGUUAACGCUAUCGGCGUAAGUAAACUCAAGUGAUUCUAGUCUAUGGCAUGUAUAGGGUUUUAAUGUGAGUAUGUAAUAUUAUGAUUUAGCCAAAGGCAUUGGCUUGUUAUUAAGGUAGUAUUAGUCAUGUAAAUUGGCCUAUGUCGGCUAAUAUCGUUAUGGGCCCAUAUGAUUAUUCUUAUGCAUGUAUGUUAUUAUCUCUUGUGAUGUGGCUUACAACAUGUAUGCCUAGAGAUUGAAUUGAGAUUCAUUGAUGAGCUAAUAACUAAUAAGGAUUAAGUGAUUGGUAAA